GUCUCUUUGAUUUAAUUUUAUAAGGAGUCUGACCUGCCCAGUGAUAAUUAAUAAUUUAACGGCCGCAGUACUUUGACUGUGCGAAGGUAGCAUAAUUAUUUGCCUUAUAAUUGAAGGCUUGUAUGAAUGGUUUGACGAGAAUAGAUCUGUCUUAAUUAAAUUUUUUAGAAUUUAACUUUAAAGUGAAGAGGCUUUUAUUUUCUUGAUAGACAAGAAGACCCUGUCGAGCUUUAUUUGUUAUUUGUAGGUUAAUAUUUUUAUAUUACUUUUAGAUUUUAGUUGGGGUGACUGAGGAACUGUAUAAGUUUCCUUAAUGAUUUAUAAAUUUACUAAUUUUGAUCCAUAUUUAAUGAUUAUUGGAAUUAGCUACCGCAGGGAUAACAGCAUAAUCUUUUUUGAGAGUUCGUAUUGAAAAAUGGGUUUGUGACCUCGAUGUUGGAUUAAAGUGUCCUAAGGGUGCAGAAGCUUUUAAGGGUUAGUCUGUUCGACUAUUAAAACUUU
rnacentral:rRNA from 2 species